GACGAACGCUGGCGGCGUGCUUAACACAUGCAAGUCGAACGGUGAAGCGCCUUCCUUUUUGGUGGGUGUGGAUGAGUGGCGAACGGGUGAGUAACACGUGAGUAACCUGCCCCCUUCUUCUGGAUAACCGCAUGAAAGUGUGGCUAAUACGGGAUAUUCUGGGUCUGUCGCAUGAUGGGUCUGGGAAAGAUAUUGUUUCGGUGGGGGAUGGGCUCGCGGCCUAUCAGCUUGUUGGUGGGGUGAUGGCCUACCAAGGCGGUGACGGGUAGCCGGCCUGAGAGGGUGGACGGUCACACUGGGACUGAGACACGGCCCAGACUCCUACGGGCGGCAGCAGUGGGGAAUAUUGCACAGUGGGCGCAAGCCUGAUGCAGCGACGCCGCGUGAGGGAUGGAGGCCUUCGGGUUGUGAACCUCUUUCGCCAGUGAAGCAGGCCUGCCUCGUUUGUGGGUGGGUUGACGGUAGCUGGAUAAGAAGCGCCGGCUAACUACGUG
rnacentral:rRNA from 1 species